AUCGACGCCGGAAGCUGAGUGUGGCGGCCAUCUUGCUGUGACCAUCUUAGCAAUGUUUGGGUCCUCUUUUGGCAAAACUUAUGUCGAUCGUAAGGGAAAUUCGCAAUAUUAUUGUGUCAAUGCUUCAGUCGUGAACUGCCAGGACAACUUCCAAGCUGGAUUUUCAUGUGUACAUCGACGAAUUAUGCUCUAUCUUAAGUAGGAGAAAGAAUGAAAUUCGUCAUGAGAACUCCUAACGGCUACGAUGAGAGGACAUUCUAGGUCGAAGUAUUUCACAUUGUCUUUCAGUUUCAUCAUUUUGGCUUUGUUAAACAAUUAUUUGUUCCAAAUGAAAGAAAAAUAUCUGGUGUGUGUUAUUUGUUAUAUUUAUACUGAAAGGGGAAUGCUUUUUGUUAAGACAAUGUUUAGACAGUUAAUGAUGUGUUUGUUUCAAUAUUGCAUCUCUCACUCUUGAACUCGGCAAUUUCACUUUUUCUUUAAUGUCUUCAUUUACUUUGUCAUUUAUGACGAAAAGAAAAAUAAAUUACGGCUUUAAUUUACUGUUCUUUGCAAAACUGAAUUUUUUGACAUUAACCCUGAUGUCAGUUGGUAUGAUUAAUAAUUUUAUUGGAGUUUUAUUAGUCAAUGGCAAAGUGCAUAUAUUGUUGGCAGAUUGUAAUUGUUAAUUUGAAAGUAACAAAGAAUCUGUACAACAAAAUGCAUAUUCUUAUAUUUCAGAGCCUAUGGACAUGUUAGAUGUGUGAAAGGAACAAUAAUGCUAACAAUAAACAGCAUCUCAAUAGACUUAUUGGAUUUAUAUAUAAUUUCUUCUAAACAAGCUUUAAACAACAAUUUGCUAUACUGUUGAUGGUUUAUUAAAUUGUUUGGAUGGUA